UCAUUUCUGCGGGGUUCGUCACCGAUUUCCUAUGUUGAGCCAAUGCCGUUGAAAAGGGAGACCGACGCCGCGGCCAGUGCGAUCCCUCAUUGACAGGGAACCGCCAGAGGCUCCGGCUUCUUUUGAGGUCACCCACCUGUAAAGCAGGUUCAAUUACGGCUUCGGAACGGCCCGCGCGGAUUUCCC
rnacentral:other from 1 species